rnacentral:lncRNA from 1 species
AGUUACCAACUUUACCAAAGCCUGAAGUACCAACUGCGCCAAACCCUGAGCUACCAACCAUCCAAAAACAUGAGUUACCAACUUUGCCAAAACCUGAAGUACCAACUGUGCCUAAGCCAGAGACUGUCCCGAAGCCUGAGAUUCCUAUUAUACCAAAACCUGAAGUACCAACUGUGCCAAAGCCCGAGCUACCAUCCAUCCCGAAGCCUGAGAUCCCAACUGUGCCGAAACCUGAGCUUCCAACCAUCCCAAAGCCUGAAAUACCAGUUGUCCCGAAGCCUGAGACUCCUAUUAUGCCAAAACCUGAAGUACCAAUUGUGCCAAAGCCCGAGCUACCAUCCAUCCCGAAGCCUGAGUUACCAACUUUACCAAAGCCUGAAGUACCAACUGCGCCAAACCCUGAGCUACCAACCAUCCAAAAACAUGAGUUACCAACUUUGCCAAAACCUGAAGUACCAACUGUGCCUAAGCCAGAGAUACCAGCUGCCCCAAAGCCUCCAACUUUGCCAAAGCAUGUGAUCCCAGCUGUGCCAAAACCCGAGCUUCCUGCUAUGCCAAAGCCUGAGAUUCCAACAAUGCCAAAACCCGAGUUUCCUCUCUUGAAAAAGUCAGAAAUCCCAGCAGUGACAAACACGAAGGUUCCUCCAACAAUAAAAAAGCCUGAAGUUCCAGCUUUGCCAAAGCUAGAAAUCCCAGAGCUACCAAAGCCAAAACUCCCAGAGCUUCCAAAGCCUAAAAUCCCCGAACUGCCUAAACCAGAAGUUCCAGCUAUGCCAAAGCCUAAAAUCCCCGAACUGCCUAAACUAACUUUUCCUUCACUUUCUCCCCCAUACAAACCCUCUACUCCUUGAGUAAUUACGUUCACUCUAUUAGAAAGUACCCAAACUGAUGCUUUGAGAUUGCUAUCUCAGUCUAUGAAGUUUGCUGCAUGGGCCGUGACAUGGAGAAAUUUUGGAAGAUCAUACUGGAUACUUUCUGCUAGGUGUAGAAUAUAAAUUCAUUUGUCGUAUUUGAUGUGCCAUGUUUCGCCGGUCAUUAUAUUGUAUACGAGUGUUUUAUGUUCUUUUUAUAUAAAGAUAUGAUCUAUUUCACAGUUUGGACUUACUUCGAUUUAGUUCCUUUCGUUGGCCAUCUCUGAUUUCAAUCAUUGUUUGUCUGAUUUUUCCCACUUCUGUUUUUCUCUAUCCUAUUACUACUUUUUUCCAUUCUCAUUUGACAUUUUGAUGUAUUUAAGAACCAAACCCGGAGAUUUAGGAUGUGUUUUGGUAUAACGGAAAUUAAUUUUCAUAAAAAAUAUUUCCUUAGAAAAUAGAUAGUAAUUUUAUUUAUUUUUCUGUGUUAAGUACACAAAUUAAGAAAAAUAACGUCUCAAGAGUAUUCAUAAAUAAUUUAGAUACAAUAAAUAUGAAGCCAUAAACUUCCGAACCAACAAACUUCCGAACCUACAAAUUUCAUAAACUUUCGAAACUGCUAACUUUCGAACCCGUAAACUUUAUAAAUAUUUCUAAACCCGUAAAUUACUUUAAAUAUUUAACUAAAAUUAAUCUAAAGUAACAAAGAGAUCAAGAAAACAAGUUGGUGAAUUAUAGAGACGAAUUUAAUAUGAGUGAAUAUUCUAGAGCUAUGGGUUAGCUAACAAUUCCGUUGAGUUUUUAAUUUAAAUCGUCUAAUUAAUUUAUCUGAUUAAUUGGUUGACAGAGUUAAUAUUGCUCGUAGCCUUCUCCCGAAGUACAACUCGCCUAUUCAAGCUAACCUAAAGCCUAUAUUCCUAUGGAAUUAAAAUUAACAAGAACACAUUUAUAAUUCCUGUAUAGUAAUCAAGCAAACCGAUUAGGCAUAUUCAACCGAUUAGGUAUAUUCCUAUGGAAUUAGAAUUAACAAGAACGCAUUUAUAAUUCCUGUAUAGUAAUCAAGCAAGGCGAUUAGGUAUAUUCCUAUCCUAACCGCAAAUUCGCUCCCCCCUCCCCCAAGAGUUAAGAUUUUGCUCUACUCAAUCUUAUAUGCAAUCUAGAAUUCCUUCUCUCGAGUUCAAUCCUAGAUCUGUAGAUAGUAUUUAAUUGGUGAUCAAGCAAUCAAAUAAUUUAGCGCAAGAUUGAAUAAAUAAACCAAUAUGAUAAAAUAAUAGGAACAAUCUAAGCUUCAAACUACAACGUUCAUGUAGCAUCCAAAACUCUAGAACUAAUAAACUGUGAGAUUAAAUGAAGAGAAGAGAAGAAAAACUAGUUAGGAGCCUCCUCCAAAGCGUGGUGUGUUCCUCCACGUGAAUUCCCCUUCAAAAUAUGUUCCCUAGGUCUAAGAUCUGUCAUAUGUAUGUCCCACCUCUCUAAAAUAGCGUUUUACAUGUAUUUAUACCAAGUAGGGUCGGGUCCAGAGGGAACAUCUGUCAAAAGUAUGCCCUACCUCUCCAAAAUAAUUAUACCAAGUAGGGUCAGGCCCAGAUAAAAACACCUUCUCCCGCGCGAAAUAGGACUCUGGCUCUGUAAGUUUUGUACAGACGCGCCGCGCCAUGCAGCGCGCUAACGGAGUUUAUCGGCAAGCUGUACUUUUCUUGUCUUGCGACAUUUUACACUGCUGCGUCGUGCCUUGCGGCGUCCUAUGCGGCGCUACAGUUUAAUUUUCUCAGAGUGAACAUAUUUCGUCCUCUUUUAACAUCCAGACAUGGUACACCACCUCUGAACACGAUUCCGACUUGAUUCCUUGGGCUUUUACUCAGACUUUAAAGCUCUAAAUCACUUGAAUACAUUCCAUAACGCAUACAUAGAUCGAAAUCACUCCUACAAGGCAUAAAAUACAUAUUUAGUGCAACACACUAGCGAUUAAAGCUCAAACUCAAUUAAAGUACAGUAAAUUAGAGUGUAAUAAGCGUCUAAAAUACACAAUAAUAGCCCAUCAUCAACACCCUACACUUAAAUCAUUGCUCGUCCUCGAGCAAUCAAACAUUACUUUAUAUAGACACAAUCUUUUUUAAACAAUUCUCCUAAAUCAUCACACCAAGAAUAUUUAAAAUAGACUAAGCACAAGAGUGUAACAUAUUCACCUCAAGAUCUGACUCACAAGUAUCACGCAUUAUUCACAACUCACUCACUUACUCUAACAUAGAAGUCACGGAAACUGCCUUUCCUUCGUGAACCAGGUGCUCUCACACAACAAAAGUGAGUAGUUUCACACAAUAAAAUUUAAGAACACUUAGGAACACAAGAUAAAAAGAAUUCACUCACUCUCAGAAAUAACAUUCAUAUGCCACAGAAGAUGCAUCAUAGGCUUAACUGUAGUGUAUUACUCUACUAAUCGAGCUUAUUCAGUCUAGGAUCAAGUAUGACUUUAUUUGGUUGUAAUGUAGGCUGCAGGAUGGGUAGGAUACAUUUAGAUAUAAUAGUGACUAUACAUCCCUAAGCACUUCAAUACAUACACUUUAACAUUGAAAAGCCCACACUUAUGUCGAACCAUAACUCCACAUUCACACCAAUAUAUAUUAACUCUCCACUUCUUUAAGUACAAUUAUAUCAAGAGUCACCACCACCAUCUAGAAUUAUUUUUCGCAACAAUACAACUAAUUUUUUUUCUUUUCAAUUCACGUGGCUCUUACUUUUUCAAAACAAUGCACCUUUCUCCUUUUUCAUUAGUUCAAAUCAAAAGUCAAACCAACCACCCCCACUUUAACUUUUAUAAAGUUCAUAACAAUUCAAAUGCUCAUGAGAGGUGAAAAGGUUCAAAUAGAUGGUAGUUCAAAAAAAUAGGCAAGACGUGUAAUGUGGUUGCCAAAGAAACAGGAUUAUAGACUCAAAUAGGUUAACAAUGAUAAUAAAAAUUAGGCGGGUAUAUAUAUAUGGCUCAACAAAGAAACGCAUAUAUCACUUCCAAGACUGAACAAAACUACUAUUUCGCUUUGCAAACACAUGGGGCAAGUUCUAGACAUCAAAUGCAUUGCACAGAAUAACACAAAACCUUGCACACACAUAACACAUAAAUCACUCAGGAUUGGACACAUCAAGAUACUCUAGUCAAAGAAGUUAAGCAAAGUUAAGAUCAUACAAUUUAAGGUACUUAUAAAAGAGUUAAAAACUGAGCCUAAGCGUUACAACCAAAGUACUCACUAUUCUCAAGGCAUAACAAUUCAAGAGAUAUUGCUUCAAUUCAAUUCACAUCACCAUGGCUUCUCUCCUAAAAAAAAUAAAAAUACCUACAUCCGGUUCAAACAAAACCCUUGGAAACGAACCGCAACACAAAGAAAAACCAAUGGGAAAUUACUACACUACCUACAAAAAAAUCUUUUUGUCAUUUUUCUUUAGACUUAAAUCCCUCAAGAAAACUGCCUAGGAGAUCCAUCGUCGGAAAAAAUUCAAUUUACUUUUUUACGUUUUUCUAAAUACAAAAAAAUUAUUUAAUUAAACUAACACAACUAAAAUAGCAUAGAAAGUCACUUAGACAUUCUCCUCGCCCCACACUUUAAAUUGUGCAAUGUUCUCAAUGCACACUAUAACUAAUAAGAGGGUAAAAGAGACUCCCUGAUAGGCCAAAGGCCGAAACAUUAGUAUCUCACGAGAUACUCAUACUUCUCCCAGGUAUGCUCCUUUGUGCGGGUACCUCACACUUUGUUUUAACCAAAUGCUCUCCUUUACACAUGCCUAUUGGCUAUGACUUCAUGCUCCUACUCCUACAAAAUACAAAAAUAAUAAUACAAAUAUAAUACAAUAAAAAAAUACAAAAGGAAAAAAAUAAAAUUGAGUUGCCUCCCAAGAAGCAUUUGAUUUAACGUCGCGGCACGACUCCAUCACUUUCAUCACUUUUCCUUCCACUUAGAAGAUAUGAAUUGUGCCCCCAAUUUGGCAUCAAUUUUUCUAUUAUGUUCAUGAGGCGGUGGUGUGAAAAUAAAGAAACCAAACAAAAUAUGUCGCAUCUUCCACUACUUGACCCUUAAGUGAGGAAUGUUGUUUUGUUUCCUUGGCAUCACAAACUUCAGAAUGUAAGGGUCUUGUUCUUCAUCUAUACAUCUCUCCAAGGGUUCGAUCUCCAUGUCUUCAUCCAAACAUAAUGUAGAAAAAUGUAUAAAAUGAGGACCAACACGCCCCAACUCUAAAACUGCAUUAUUUUUUACAUCCUCAGUAAUACAUACUCCCUCAACCUCGGCAUCAUCAACAAAAACAUGGUCUAGUGAUUGGUAUCCUCGUUUUAGCUCCUCAAUUUGGCUUAAAAGAAUUUUUUCAGCUUCACAAAACUCAUCAUUAAAUUGUUGGACAUUACAUGCAUCAACCUUUGCACUCAAUUGGGCUUCCAAGUCGCGAAUAAAUUUUGCCAAAGUGAUUGAUCUCUUGUCCCAGUUCAGCUCUUCCUUCUAUAAAGUGUUAUAUCUCAUUCGUAAUUUUCUCACGGAAACCUCCAUAUUCCUCUAAUAAUUUCAUGUGCACAUCAGGAAUGCGAACAUCAUGUUCAACAUCUUACAAUUCGUUACUCCUUUCAAACUCACAAGAAUUAUAAUUAGAAUCAACACAAGAAGGGACUGGAGUAGGAUAACAACACGUAGGACAAUUGUUCCAAUUUCCAUCACAAAUAGUACAAGAUGAAAAUGGUGCACACAACUCAGUAGUAGGAAUAUUUUUACAAUAUUGCCACAAGUGGAGUCCUUUACAAUAUGGACAAGGAUCACAAAAAUAAGAAUAUUUACUAUCCCACCACUUUUCGUUCAAAGAUGUCAUGUAAAAAGAAAUAUAACACUAACUCCACUAAACUAAAAUUAAAAACUGAAAUAGAUAAAAAAGUAAAAAAUUUAAUCUAGUAAAAUAGUUAAUUUCUAAGUCCCCGGCAACGGCACAAAAAAUUUAUUGCUCCCAAACGCACGCGCAAGUAUACGUGGUCGAGAAGUAAUAUAGAAUUGUAAGUCCAGAUAUCGUACCCACAUGGACUUGUGAUUAACUAUCAACUAAAUUAGACCAAAUAAUCCUAAUGUAUAAAUAUUUAACUAAAAUUAAUCUAAAGUAACAAAUAGAUCAAAGAAAAUAAGUUGACGAAUUAUAAAGGCGAAGUUAAUGCGAGUGAAUAUUCUAGAGCUAUGGGUUAGCUAACAAUCCCGUUGAGUUUUUCACUUAAAUCUUCUAACUAAUUUAUCUGGUUUAUUGGUUAACAGGGUUAAUAUUGCUCAUAGUCUUCUCCCGAAGUACAACUCAUCUAUUCAAGCUAACCUAACGCCUAUAUUCCUAUGGAAUUAUAAUUAACAAGAGCACAUUUGUAAUUCCUGUAUAGUAACCAAGCAAGGCGAUUAAGUAUAUUCUUAUCCUAACCGCAAAUCUGCCCCCUUAAGAGUUAAGAUCUUGCUCUACUCAAUCUUAUAUGCAAUCUAGAAUUCCCUCUCCCGAGUUCAAUCCCAGAUUCGUUGAUAGUAUUUAAUUGGUGAUCAAGCAAUCAAAUAAUUAAGCGCAAGAUUGAAUAAAUAAACCAAUAUGAUAAAAUAAUAAGAACAAUCUAAGCUACAAACUAUAACGUUCGUACAACACCCAAAACUUUAGAACUAAUAAACUAUGAGAUUAAAUUAAGAGAAGAGAAGAAAAACUAGUUAGGAGCCUCCUCCAAAGCGUGGUGUGUUCCUCCACGUGAAUUCCCCUUCAAAAUAUGUUCCCUAGGUCUAAGAUCUGUCAUAUGUAUGUCCCACCUCUCUAAAAUAGCGUUUUACAUGUAUUUAUACCAAGUAGGGUCGGGUCCAGAGGGAAACACCUUCUCCCGCCCGAAAUAUGACUCUGUAAAUUUUGUACAGAUGUGGCGCGCCAUGCGGCGCGCUAAUGGAGGUUAUUAGCAAGCUUGACUUUUCUUGUCAGGCAGCAUUUUACACUGCUGCGCUGCGCCUUGCAGCGUCCCAUGCAGUGCGGCAGUGUAAUUUUUUCAAAGUGAACUUAUUUCGUCCUCUUUGAACAUCCGGACUUGGUACACGAUCUCGACUUAAUUCCUUGGAUUUUUACUUAGACUUCAAAGCUCCAAAUCACUUGAAUACAUUCUAUAACACCUACAUAGAUCGAAAUCACUCUUACAAUGCAUAAAAUACAUAUUUAGUGCAAAAUACUAGUGAUUAAAGCUCAAACUCAAUUAAAAUAUAAUAAAUUAAAAUGUAAUAAGCAAUUAAAAUAAACAAUUAUAGCAUAUCAUCACAAGUCAUGAGGCGUUUUCUUUUGCCCGCCUCUGUUUUACUUUCACUAAAUUAGAAAAGCAACAAAUAUAGAAAGGACAUCAAUCACAUUGUGAUUGCAAAUUUAGAGUUAAUAAAAUAACGUGUAAGGUAUUUUUUUAACACAUUUUGCUUCCUGGAUGAUCAUAUUAAUUAGCUGUAGAUCCAACAAUUCUUUAGCUGCAUUGAAAAAUGCGACGCAGAGAUUAAUUUCUUUGCAAGGAAGUUGAAGCAACGGACCAAUACUGUUUUCUAACAAGUGGCAGCUAAUUAGAUGAGAUAAUGACAGGUUUUGACUAUUAUGGCAUAGUAGUAGAUAGUAUAUUGUUAUUUGUUAAUAAACAGAUUUUGAGCUGCCAGAAGAAAAAUUUCAAGAUAAUAUUGGCAGGCAAAUAGAUGAGAAGUUCAACUAACAUAUCCCUUUCCCAACAACCAAAAUAUUGAAGUCCUACUUUUGUUGCAUGAAUGUAAAACCUAUAUAUAGCAACAGCCUUAUAUCCAAUGCCACAUCCAAAUUUCACUGAUUCUAUACACACUCUUCUUUAAGCUGCUAGGAUUUGCAGAAAAAUGGCUCAUCAUUAUCAGCUAUCCUCCCUCUUACUGCUUGCAUUUCUCAAUUUAUGCUUCAUGAAUGGCCACAUAACAUGUGUUACUGCACGCCGCCUUCUGGAGGCGCCCCUCCCUGAUAUUCCUAAACCAGAAUUUCCAAAAGUUCCAACCUUGCCAAAGCCUGAGAUCCCAACUGUGCCGAAGCCUGAGAUUCCAGCCAUACCAAAGCCUGAAAUUCCUGUUAUGCCAAAGCCUGAAGUACCAACUGUGCCGAAGCCUGAGCUGCCAACUGUCCCAAAGCCUGAGUUACCAACUUUACCAAAACCCGAGAUCCCAACUGUGCCAAAGCCCAAGCUUCCAGCUAUGCCAAAGCCUGAGAUCCCAGCAAUGCCAAAACCUGAGUUGACAAACGCACCAAAGCCUGAAAUCCCAAUGGUUCCAAAGCCCGAGAUUCCUACUAUGCCAAAGCCUGAGCUACCAGCUACUCCAAAACCUGAGUUACCAAAUUUCCCGAAGCCUGAGAUUCCAACAGUGCCAAAGCCUGAGAUUCCAGCCGUGCCAAAGCCGGAGAUACCAAAGUUGUCAAAGCCCGAGCUUCCUCGCCUAGAAAAGCCAGAGGUUCCAGCACUGCCAAAGACUGAGCUUCCUCCAGCUAUGACAAAGCCUGAUGUGCCGACUGUGCCAAAGCUCGAGCAACCAGUGGUGCCAAAAC